rnacentral:rRNA from 1 species
UACAGAGGGUGCAAACGUUGCUCGGAAUCAUUGGGCGUAAAGGGCUCGUAGGCGGCCAACUAAGUCGGACGUGAAAUCCCUCGGCUUAACCGGGGAACUGCGUCCGAUACUGGAUGGCUUGAGUUUGGGAGAGGGAUGCGGAAUUCCAGGUGUAGCGGUGAAAUGCGUAGAUAUCUGGAGGAACACCGGUGGCGAAGGCGGCAUCCUGGACCAACACUGACGCUGAGGAGCGAAAGCCAGGGGAGCAAACGGG